rnacentral:rRNA from 1 species
GGGUUGUGAGGUUAAGUGACUAAGCGUACACGGUGGAUGCCUAGGCAGUCAGAGGCGAUGAAGGGCGUGCUAAUCUGCGAAAAGCGUCGGUAAGGUGAUAUGAACCGUUAUAACCGGCGAUACCCGAAUGGGGAAACCCAGUGUGUUUCGACACAUUAUCAUGUCAUGAAUACAUAGUGGCAUGAGGCGAACCGGGGGAACUGAAACAUCUAAGUACCCCGAGGAAAAGAAAUCAACCGAGAUUCCCCCAG